ensembl:lncRNA
GUAGGUUGGGAAGAUCUCCUGGAGAAGGGAAAGGCUACCCACUCCAAUAUUCUGGCCUGGAGAAUUCCAUGGAGUAUUAGUCCAUGGGGUUGCAAAGAGUUGGACAUGUCUGAGCAACUUUCACAAUUAGAUUUAAAACUGUAUGAAAACCAGGCAUCUCCAGCUUUUGGGAGCUUCCCUCUCUUUUGAGACCCUGAGUCACAUACAGCAGCAGAGCUUCCCCAGGUAUCUGGGAUCCCACAGGGAAAUCAUCCAUGUCCUCCUUCAUUCUGACUCUUACCCAUCCCCUCAGUCAUCUGUUUGUAUAUGAGCAUUCUUCAUCCUUCUUAGGUCAUUUCUUGCUUGGGCAACAAGUCUCUCCUUCCUACUGAUUUUCUAUUUCUUCUACACAACAAGGGGAGGUUUGGGCCUUGCUUAUGUCAUAGAUAAGAUCAGGCUGUAACAUCAAGCAAACAUACCUGAAGGGGUAUUUGUAGUACAAGAGAAUUACAACAUAGAAAAUAUUACAGUGGGUCAUGCCCUUAGAGCCCAGUGGCCAUGCCUGUCUGCAAGAGGGAAUUGGCCCAGUGUCUCUCCCCUUAGCUCUCUGCUUCACCAGCCCACCUGUCCUCAGUAGAAAGGCUUUGUCCAGGCCAGUCUCUUCAGUUCUGCAGUUGUAUUUAUUCUAAGAUGCCAUUAGCUGUAAGGUGCAGCAUUAUUUUAUACACCUCUUGACCAGUCAAGAAUUUAUUUACAAAGGCACUAGUUACCGAGGUGUAGGAGAACCACCACGAAAAGUGUAGAAACCUAGGGCUAACAUCUGAGGAACUGUCACCACCUUCACAUAAAAGAAUGAGGGGUGGGGGAUAUUACUGGAAGGGGAGAGAAUUGUAGAGUGACCACCAGACUCAGGUGAGCUCAUGGGCAGAGAACUGUGUGAAUGUAUACUCUGCUCUUCCCCUCCUUCCCUCCCUUCCUCCCUUUUGUCUCCUGGUCUCCUGCCAGGCUGCUCCAAGUGGCCCAGCCCAACCUGAAGCCAGUGGGCACAGGAGCACAUCCACAGAGGGCAAACUUCAGCUUCAUGAGAAGUGUGGAAAGUGGAUGAAUGGAAGACAUCUCUGCAACAGACCCCAAGGAAGAAUAAAUUCUGCCAAUUAAACUAUGAGACACUGUUCCCUUGUCACUUGAAAUUUCUGUGUUACACCUACUGAAAGAGCUGUUAGACAUAUAAAAGGAAUUUGUUUUUGUCAUGUAGUACUUUUCUGGAUUUAAGAUAACUUCACAUUUCAAUACUGAACAAAAGUACAAUUUUUUGGAAAACAUUUUGUGGCAAAUAUUUUUUCCCCAAAGGUGAUCACGAUAACAGCUCUUGCCCAACAUGUGCUUCUGGCACCUCACGACUGCCACACUGAGAGGGGAAGUCUAGUUUCUCCUCGCUCGAAUCUAGGCUCUUUUGUGACUUGCUUGUAACCGAUGGACAGCAUCUGACACGGUGCCUCAUGACUUCUGAAGCCAGCUCUGAAAAUGAUAGUGUAAAUUCCACCUUGUUUGCUUGAAUAGUUGCUCUGGAGCCCAGAGCUUCCAUGUUAACAGUCUGACUGGUCUCUGGCCACCAUGUUCGGAGGAACCCAAACUAAUAAAACUCAGAAGGAUUCCAGGGAGAAGUCUCGGGACUAGUGAAGAGAGAUCGAUGCUUUGCCAGUUUCCAGCUUCUCCUGCUCCCUGCCUCAGUUGUUCUGGUUCCAGCCAAUCUGGGACUGCAGUCUCAUGAGAGAUGUUUUAACCAGAAGCAUCCAGUCAAGAUUUCCUGAAUUCCUGCCCCACAGAAAGUGUGAGAUGAUAAAAUGAUUGCUGUUGUUUUAAGCCAUUGAGUUUUGAAGUGAUUAGCUAUGUAACAAGAGUAACCAAAGCAAUUUUGAAUGCCAGUUAUACUCAACAGAUGUAGUGCCAGUGAUGUCUGUAAUUAACUGAAGUGAUGACAGUAAGAAUAACUGUAACCAAGUUUGCACAGGUGGUGAUAACUAUGUCAUCUUGGCCAGUAUCCUGGCCAAAAACAUUUGUGAAGUGCCAUACAUUUUAAGAUGCUUCCUAGUGAGAAAGAAAAUGCAGUUUAGUACUGACAAAAUGUGGUAGUAUUGGUGUUGAGAGAGGGACAAAACUAAGUAGGGUUGGGAACUGGUUGGUAAAGUGAUUUUGAAAAAGCUUAAUAUUUAAUAGUUAAGAUGAUACAUACUCAUUUACUCAAUAAAUAAAUAUCAAAUGAGAACAACCUAUUUAGGUCAUGAAACCACCAAAUGUAACCAUCCAGAGAUCAACAUUCAGAUUUCUAAAGGCACAUGGAUGCAUUUAUAGAUAUGUGGACAUAUACUUUAUAAUUGAAUUCAUCCUUUACUGCAGCCUACUAUUUCACCAGUCAAAAAUGUGCUAACUUCAUGUUUCUACCUCAAAAGAUGUAAAACUACAUUCUUUUAUUUUAAUGAUAGCAGAGUCUCUCAUUUACUUUACCAAUCACCCAGUGAUGGACAUUUUGUUUUGUCUCAUUUCAGGGUUGCUUUAUCAUUAUUAAAACAACGGGCAUGUUGAUGCCCUCCCCCCACCCCCCACCAUUUUGUAGCUGUCUUUUUGUGGAGUUUUCUACAUAUGAGAUCUUUGGGUUGAAUCAGAUGUGCCAUUAUAAUUUGGUAUGGAUUGACAAAAGUGCCUUCCAGAAAGGCUGUAUCCAUUCUUACUUAUAUAAAAAGUUUUGGAAAAUGCCAGUUUUCUCUCUCCUUUGCCGAUGAAGGAGUUCAGAGUGUGUCACCCCCAUAAUACAUGAUUUAUUUAUUAUUUUGCAUUAAAGUCACUUGAGAGAUGGUGGAUGCAAGAUGGGCGUUCAGACCCUCCUUUUUAUUCCUGAAGGCAAGAGAUAAAACUCCCUUGUGAAAGGUGCCCUUUCUGUACCAGGAGAAAGGAAGAUGUUCUUAUCACCAAAGACACAGAACUGAGGCAGAAAGAAAUCUGUACACACAGACCUUGUUCAAAUAAUUCUUAUCUUCCUUUAGCCUCUCUAUAUUGUUUAGUUACUUUUCUCAUGGAGAAGGAGAUGGCAAUCCACUCCGAUAUUCUUGCCUGGAGAAUCCCGUGGACAGAGGAGCCUGGAGGACUACAGUCCAUGGGGUGGCAAAGAGUCAGACACAACUGAGCCACUGAACCACUUUUCACAAUUGCUUCCUUUUUUUGAGGGGCUAAUAUAAAAGCAUGUAGGUUCUGCUAUUUCUUUUACUCUGCAUUCCUUAUGAAGGCUCCCAUGUCAUGUAAAUUUUAAUAUGAGUGUGUAUACUUUUCUCCCUUAGUCUAUCUUAUGUCAGAUUAAUUCUCAGGCCAUGCUGAAAAAUCCUAAGAGGGUGGGAGUAAAAAUCUGCCUCCUCCAUACCAACAUUUGUUUUUUGUCAUUCAUCUGAUCCUAGUCCUAUGGUUUAAAAAGAUUUCUUUUUUGUUGUUCUUGUGUGUGUUUUGGAAAAUAAUGAAACUGAACAUCUUUUCCUACUUUUUGUCCAUUUUAAUUUCUCCUUUUGUGAAUUUAUUAUUCAUAGUCUUUGACCAUUUUUUAUAGUUGAUUUGUAAGGGCUCUUUGUCCAUCCUGU